GUUCCAGACCACCAUGAUAAGGAAUUACCAAAAUGUGACAGAGACACGAAGUGAGCAAAUGCUGUUGGAAAAUGGCACUGAUAGACUUGCUCGAAGCAGGGUUGGCACAAACCUUCAAUUUGUAAAAAAGGCAAUAUCUGUGAAGUGUGAUAAAGUGAAGCCCAAUAAAACGAGAAACAAAGAUGAAAAAAAGACGUUUUCAGAUACAGGAAAGAUGAAGGAGCCCGUCACUAACACUCUCCCACUUCAGGAAAAUUUUAAAGUAUGUCCUUCAGGCAGCAGGAAAAUGAUACCACUUGAAAAAAGAAAAAAGAGCAACAGAAGUGGUAACUACUUAGCUUCUCUCCAAGAUAAAAUGGCAAAUCCCAAAGAGAAAACUCCAAUGUGUCUGGUAAAUGAGUUAGCCCGUUUCAAUAGAGUCCAACCCCAGUAUAAACUUCUGAGAGAAAGAGGGCCCGCUCAUUCGAAGAUGUUCUCAGUGCAGCUGAGUCUUGGUGAGCAGACAUGGGAAUCCGAAGGGAGCAGUAUAAAGAAGGCCCAACAAGCUGUUGCUAAUAAAGCUUUGACUGAAUCUACGCUUCCCAAACCAGUUCAGAAACCACCCAAAAGUAAUGUUAAUAAUAACCCAGGUAGUAUAACUCCAACCGUGGAACUGAAUGGGCUUGCUAUGAAAAGGGGAGAGCCUGCCAUCUACAGGCCGCUGGAUCCAAAGCCUUUCCCCAAUUACAGAGCCAACUACAACUUUCGGGGCAUGUACAAUCAGAGGUAUCAUUGCCCAAUGCCCAAGAUCUUUUAUGUUCAGCUGACUGUAGGAAAUAAUGAAUUUUUUGGAGAAGGAAAGACUCGGCAGGCUGCUAGACACAACGCUGCAAUGAAAGCCCUUCAAGCAUUGCAGAAUGAACCUAUUCCAGAAAAAUCACCUCAGAAUGGCGAAUCAGGAAAAGAGAUGGAUGAUGACAAAGAUGCAAAUAAAUCUGAGAUCAGCUUAGUGUUUGAAAUUGCUCUGAAGCGAAAUAUGCCCGUCAGUUUUGAGGUUAUUAAAGAAAGUGGGCCACCACAUAUGAAAAGCUUUGUUACUCGGGUGUCGGUGGGAGAGUUCUCUGCAGAAGGAGAGGGAAAUAGCAAAAAGCUCUCCAAGAAGCGUGCUGCCACCACCGUCUUACAGGAGCUGAAGAAACUUCCACCCCUUCCUGUGGUUGAAAAGCCAAAACUAUUUUUUAAAAAACGCCCUAAAACAAUAGUCAAGGCUGGACCAGAAUAUGGUCAAGGAAUGAACCCCAUUAGCCGCCUGGCUCAGAUUCAACAGGCCAAAAAGGAGAAGGAGCCGGAUUACGUUUUGCUUUCAGAAAGGGGAAUGCCUCGGCGUCGGGAAUUUGUGAUGCAGGUCAAGGUAGGCAAUGAAGUUGCUACUGGAACAGGACCUAAUAAAAAGAUAGCCAAAAAAAAUGCUGCGGAAGCAAUGCUGUUGCAACUUGGUUACAAAGCAUCCACUAGUCUUCAAGAUCAACUCGACAAGACUGGGGAAAACAAAGGAUGGAGUGGUCCAAAGGCUGGGUUUCCGGAACCAACAAGUAACACUCCAAAAGGAAUUCUUCAUUUGUCUCCUGAUGUUUAUCAAGAGAUGGAAGCCAGCCGCCACAAAGUAAUCUCUGGCACUACUCUAGGCUAUUUGUCACCCAAAGAUAUGAACCAACCCUCAAGCUCUUUCUUCAGUAUAUCGCCCACAUCGAAUAGUUCAGCUACAAUUGCCAGGGAACUCCUUAUGAAUGGAACAUCUCCAGCUGAAGCCGUAGGUUUAAAAGGGAGUUCUCCUACUCCCCCUUGUUCUCCAGUACAACCUUCAAAACAACUGGAAUAUUUAGCAAGGAUUCAAGGCUUUCAGGUUCACUACUGUGAUAGACAAAGUGGCAGAGAGUGUGUGACCUGUCUGACAUUAGCCCCUGUGCAGAUGACUUUCCAUGCUAUUGGAAGCUCCAUUGAAGCCAGCCAUGACCAGUGCCCUUGCGUGGAGAGGAUAACAGAGCAUAGCAUAAUGACGGAUCUUCUCAAACACAUGAUUAAUUGUCCAACUCAAACCAGGCCUAGGAAAACCUUCUUAGGGGCAGCCCUCUCUAGUUCAGGACGUCUCUGACAUUGUGGGUCUCCAGCCAUCACUUGUUGAUUGGUGAUGAGGUCUUGUGGUGUUCAAGAAAGAGCAACUAGAUCAUAAAAUCUGAACUUUAGGAACUAACCAUGGCGUAAGUUAGCUGCACUUCGCUGGAUGGAAUCUGUCAUCUCUUUGGGACUCUGUUUCCUGGAACGUUAAUGAGGGAAUUGAGUUGGGUGACUUACAAGAUUCAUUCCAGUGCUCCCGUUUUAUAGCUCUGUAACUGAUCUUCCUGCUCCUGGUUGGAUGAGGCCAACCAAUACUAAACAGUUAAUAGCGUAUUGAUCUGGAAAGCAGCGUAGAGACCCCCCAGUGCUUCCCAGGGUUUCGCGCUGAUGUACACCCUGGCUGCCAUCCGAGAGAUGUGCCUGCACCAGCUUAUAUAAAGAGUUAUCCCUGUGUGAACUACAACUUAACUGCGUGCCAGGUGCUACGGAAAUGUGGUGAGAAGUUCAGACAUGGUUCUCGCUCUCCUAGAACCUACAGUCGAAGAACUUCACUUCUUUGAAUAUUUAGUAGGAAGUCUAGCUACUGCUAUAUCUAUCUCUCUAUCCAUUCGUGGCAGAAACAAAUGACGAGAGCAGCGUGAGAUAACCAUCCUGCAAAGGUCUCUCCUUAAGCUGAGCAAAGAAAUGAAAUGGUGCCUCAACCACCCACACCCCUAAGAAGAACGACCCACUGUUAGCAGAGGUAGUGUGUUCUAUAAAAGAGCACUGGACUGGGAGGGGAGACUGAAAUCAGACCCAGAUUUGCCAUGAAGUAGCUGUGGGGCCUGGUCUCUUCACCUCUUGGAACUUGGCUUCUUUGUGAGUAAAAUAAUGAGGCUGGUUCAGGCUUGUGCCCAGUGCAUGUGCCAAGCUACUCAAAGUCCAGGGCUACUGUUAGCCCACAUGGCACCUUUACAAGUUAGAAAAAAAAAAGGCACUUCUUUCUCAAGGCAUUCUACUGCUGUCCAACAGAAAAUGUAAUAGACAAAUCCACGAUAACUACAGUGUGAAUGGAGCCCUCCCACUCAAGAUGUGCAGUGCACAACCUGCACAACUGUACACAGUGGUCUUAUACUGCAUCUGUCUGGAGUGUCAGCUUUACUCAAUGGCAGCUUUAAGUGCCUUGAAACAAUUUUCUGAACAAGGACUGGAUCCAAUGGAAGGGGCCAUGAAUAUUGAAAAAGGUUCCCUUGAAAA